rnacentral:rRNA from 1 species
GAUGAACGCUGGCGGCGUGCCUAACACAUGCAAGUCGAACGUGAUAGCUAGGAAUUGCGCUUCGGUGUGAGGAAUAGCUUGAAAGUGGCGGACGGGUGAGUAACACGUGGGUAACCUGCCUUGGAGUGGGGGAUAACCAUUGGAAACGAUGGCUAAUACCGCAUGGGUCUAUUAAUACGGGAGUAUUGAUGGGUAAAGCCUAGUGCGCUUCAAGAGGGGCCUGCGGCCGAUUAGUUAGUUGGUGAGGUAAAGGCUCACCAAGGCGGAGAUCGGUAGCUGGUCUGAGAGGACGAUCAGCCACACGGGAACUGAGAAACGGUCCCGACUCCUACGGGAGGCAG